rfam:Ictidomys tridecemlineatus contig029807, whole genome shotgun sequence.
CCAAAGGCUCUUUUCAGAGCCACCACUCGGCCUAAAAGACCUGUAA